rnacentral:rRNA from 1 species
GUGGGGAAUUUUGCGCAAUGGGCGAAAGCCUGACGCAGCAACGCCGCGUGGAGGAUGAAGGCCUUCGGGUCGUAAACUCCUGUCGAUGGGGACGAAAGCCCAGCAAUGGGAUUGACUGUACCCGUUGAGGAAGCCACGGCUAACUCCGUGCCAGCAGCCGCGGUAAUACGGAGGUGGCAAGCGUUGUUCGGAAUUACUGGGCGUAAAGGGCGCGUAGGCGGCCUUACAAGUCAGAUGUGAAAGCCCCGGGCUCAACUCGGGAAUUGCAUCUGAAACUGUAUGGCUUGAGUUCUGGAGGGGAUGGUGGAAUUCCCAGUGUAGCGGUGAAAUGCGUAGAUAUUGGGAGGAACACCUGCGGCGAAGGCGGCCAUCUGGACAGUGACUGACGCUGAUGCGCGAAAGCUAGGGGAGCAAACGGGAUUAGAAACCCGAGUAGUCC